rnacentral:rRNA from 1 species
CCUACGGGUGGCUGCAGUGGGGAAUUUUGGACAAUGGGGGCAACCCUGAUCCAGCCAUGCCGCGUGCGGGAAGAAGGCCUUCGGGUUGUAAACCGCUUUUAGCCGGGAAGAAAAGGCAGGGGCUAACACUCUCUGUUCUUGACGGUACCGGCGGAAUAAGCACCGGCUAACUACGUGCCAGCAGCCGCGGUAAUACGUAGGGUGCGAGCGUUAAUCGGAAUUACUGGGCGUAAAGCGUGCGCAGGCGGUUCGUUAAGUCUGAUGUGAAAGCCCCG